rnacentral:rRNA from 1 species
CGCAUCUGUGCAUGCAGCAUAUCAAUAAGCGGAGGAAAAGAAACUAACAAGGAUUCCCCUAGUAACGGCGAGUGAAGCGGGAAGAGCUCAAAUUUGAAAUCUUAAAGGGUUUCCCUUUACGAAUUGUAGUUUAAAGAAGUGUUUUCUGUUGAGGUUUUGGUAAAAGUUCUUUGGAAUAGGACAUCAUAGAGGGUGAGAAUCCCGUAUUUGACCUUUACUUUCAACUUUGUGAUACACUUUCAAAGAGUCGGAUUGUUUGGGAAUGCAGUCCAAAAUGGGUGGUAAAUUUCAUCUAAAGCUAAAUAUUGGCGAGAGACCGAUAGCGAACAAGUACCGUGAGGGAAAGAUGAAAAGAACUUUGAAAAGAGAGUUAAACAGUACGUGAAAUUGUCAAAAGGGAAGCGUUUGACACCAGUGUUGUUUUUCUGAAAAUCAAUUAAAGAACUGUUUAUGCUAAGUUGUUUAGACUUUAUCAGCUAUCUGUUUAGUUUUGAGCUUUUCUUUAAUGCACUUUUCAGUUAACAAGUCAACAUCAAUUUCUUUUGCUGUAAAAAAGCUUGAGGAAGGUGGCUUGAGAUUCGUCUUAAGUGUUUAUAGCCUCUUGCCUAUGCAGUCGGAGAGAUUGAGGUCUGCAGCGUAGAUCCUUCGGGGCUAAAUGCAUUUGUGCUAAGUUAUAGCAUUUUAUAGACAACUUGUUGACUAUGAUUUGUCUUGUAGCUUACUCGCUUAUGUUAUUUUACCUACGCUUAGGAUGUUGAAUCUGUGCGAGACUAC